UACGAAGGGGGCUAGCGUUGCUCGGAAUUACUGGGCGUAAAGGGCGCGUAGGCGGCACUGUUAGUCAGGCGUGAAAGUCCUGGGCUCAACCUGGGAACUGCGCUUGAUACGGCAGAGCUAGAGGAUGGAAGAGGGUCGCGGAAUUCCCAGUGUAGAGGUGAAAUUCGUAGAUAUUGGGAAGAACACCAGUGGCGAAGGCGGCUCACUGGCCCGGUACUGACGCGUGAGGUGGCGAAAGCGUGGGGAGCAAACGGG
rnacentral:rRNA from 1 species